rnacentral:lncRNA from 1 species
AUGUGCCGGAGGACAUCACGGGCAUUCAGGGUUUGCUCUCUUGGAUCAGUGGUGAGUUUGGGGGCUGCACAGCCCACAGGUGUGUGUUUGCACAGAGUGUGUGUGGGAAGUCCCCAAAACGGUGAUCAUCUUGCAUUUUCAGAUGUGGCAAGAGCUGCUGAGGUGCCCCACAAGAAGCCGAGAAGCCCUGCCCCAGGAUGCUUCAUCGCUGAGCUCCCUGACAACCCCUGGGAAAGCACAGAGCUCAGCACGGAGGCACAGGCUGCCAGCAGGACCCACAGCGACCCCUUCUGGGGGCUUCCACCAUCCCCUGGGUUCCUGUCUGAGCUGCAGUGUGGGUUGUCACGGCUGUGCCCUGUCGUGCCACCAGCGAGUGCCCGGCUCAGUCCGCUGCCAACCACGCUGGCUGUCACCACACCUCCCUCAGCCCAACCCGCACAGCCCAUCGAGGAGGUGCAGCCAAGGCAGCCCCAGGUUCUUCAUGCUCCCUUUCCACCGUCACUGGGCUCUACUAUCUGCCGGGUGGCAGAUAAGAAAAAGAGGGGCAGCACCAAGCGGGCCAAGCGCCCUGCGCCUGCUGACAUGGCCCAGAAAGGGGAGAGUUCCCAGCAGGAGCAGCCCACCAGCAGCGCUCCAGCCAAGAAAAGGAAGCUGCUGCCAAGCAAGGAAGGAAAAGAAAGAAAAGGCUGCAAACGCCCACAUCAAGUGAAGCAGCCUGGGGCCAACACAGGAGCCAGCAGCAGCGGGCAAAAGGGCACUGCCAGCGAGCUGCACGUGCACCUGUGUGAAUCCAUCCAGGCCGUGCACCCGCUGGGGCAGAGAGUGACUGCGGUGGGGCCGGUGCGCCAGCCACUCUCUGUGCAGCCCCAACCCACACCCAGCGCCAGCCCUGCUGCCCUCCAGCCCCAAGGCAGAGGCUCAGCCAAGGCAGUGCCGGCACCUCCAGGCAGCACGGCGCGGAAGGAGAACGCUGCCAAGACGGUGCAGAGCUGCCUGCGCCCAUCACCAUGGAGGAGCUCAGUGCUGUGCAGGGACCCACUGCCACAGCUGCACCAGCAGCAGCCUCGGCCACAGCGCCCCAUGGACUUUGUGCCCUGCGUGGGGCCCCGGGCAGGUGGCCGUGCGCUACCCAGAGUGCUGGAGGAAUCGCUGCCCAUCACAGCCGAGCAGCGGCUCGAGCGGGAGCGCAUGAAGAGGCUGGCCCAGGAGGAGCGGCAGCGGGCGGCCCAGCAGAUGAAGAUCGGCCCCGUGCAGUUCCUGGUGCAGCGGGAGAUAGAAAUGGCCAUAGCUGACAUGUACGGCUACCUGUAA